rnacentral:lncRNA from 1 species
UUUAAUAAAAAAUAUACUUUUUUUUAUAAUUUUUAAUUCAAAUUUACUUUAUUAUUUUUUAUUUUAUUUUUUUUAUUAUUGUGGUUAAAAAACCAAAAAAAAAAAGAAAAAAUAAGAGGGGCACCGGUCAUUACCGGUCAUUAAGCUACCGGACGCCCCCACCCCCCAAAUUCCAGAGGAUUACCUAGCUCUGUGGCCUUGAUCUCCGAGUCCUCAUUUCCCAAGAUCCA